UACGUAGGGUGCAAGCGUUAAUCGGAAUUACUGGGCGUAAAGCGUGCGCAGGCGGUUGUGCAAGACCGAUGUGAAAUCCCCGGGCUUAACCUGGGAAUGGCAUUGGUGACUGUACGGCUAGAGUGUGUCAGAGGGGAGUAGAAUUCCACGUGUAGCAGUGAAAUGCGUAGAGAUGUGGAGGAAUACCGAUGGCGAAGGCAGCCCCCUGGGAUGACACUGACGCUCAUGCACGAAAGCGUGGGGAGCAAACAGG
rnacentral:rRNA from 1 species